rnacentral:rRNA from 1 species
UACCAGCACCCCGAGUGGUCGGGACGAUUAUUGGGCCUAAAGCAUCCGUAGCCGGUCAUGCAAGUCCUCCGUUAAAUCCACCUGCUUAACAGAUGGGCUGCGGAGGAUACUACAAGGCUAGGAGGCGGAAGAGGCAGGCGGUACUCAGUGGGUAGGGGUAAAAUCCUCUGAUCCAUUGAAGACCACCAGUGGCGAAGGCGGCUUGCCAAUACGCGCUCGACGGUGAGGGAUGAAAGCUGGGGGAGCAAACCGG